rnacentral:rRNA from 1 species
UGAGGAACAUGACCUUCGGCGGGGGGUAGCCGGCCCAACGGCCGGGUAAUACCGCGUACGACCACAUGGGGACAUCCCUGAGUGGUGAAAGCAGCAAUGCGCCGAUGGAGUGCCUCGCGGUCUAUCAGCUAGUUGGUGAGGUAACGGCUCACCAAGGCAACGACGGGUAGCUGGUCUGAGAGGAUGGCCAGCCACAUUGGGACUGAGACACGGCCCAGACUCCCUAGGGACGG